GGGGAUGUAGCUCAGGUAGAGUGCUUGCCUAGCAAGCAUGAGGCCCUGGGUUCAAUCCCCAGCAGUGACA
rnacentral:tRNA from 1 species